UUCACUGUCCCCUCAAAAGCCUUCAUAUCCCAGCAUUCCUUUGUCUCCCUUUAAGAUGGUUGCUAGGCAACACCAGGUUUUCUAAUAUACGAAGCAGAGGGAGCAGGCAAUGCCACUAUUCUCCAUGUGGAUUUGGUUUGCCAACAGAAUCAGGUCAUUGGUGCCAGUGCCUGAAGAGUGUCUGACACCUCUGCUCUGUAGAUACGUGUAGACAGCUGAGACUCGAGAAGGAAGAAGGUACUACAGCAGCUGUCAGCAGUACAUCUUCAAGAUCACCCAGAACUGGAAAUCUAAAAGUGUCAGUUUGCUGCGAAUGUCCAUGGCGUUAAUAAAAAACCUGGUGCCAGAACCUCCGAGACCAAAUCCCUGGCUCGACACUUGUGCCACACAAUAGACUGUGCUCAUCUGAUUUUUAGAAGAUGUUUUUUUGGAAGAAAUCGAAGACUGGAAAGAAAUGGUAUGGGCUGAGAAGGACCAAACCCUGGAGUCCUGGGACAUGGUAAAACAAAAUUUUCCACAAUCUUUCCCAGAUACGGAGAUUUAAGGCGAGGAACUUUUCCAGAUGCUGUGUCAGGGAUCUGUCAUUCUCAUGCAGACCGGCUUCAAAAAGACUCUGACUCACCAGGCGAAAAUGCUGAACUAUGCGAUCACCCAUCAAACCCCAAGACCACAGAAGAGGGAGAGCAGGGAAGAGUCCAUCCUGGCCUUUCUGGGGAUUGUUGGAACCAUCCUCAACCUACUUGUCAUUAUUAUUGUCUACAUCUAUACUUCUAUCUGACAGUAGACGCUGACAAGCGUGACCUAACUUUCCACAGGGGAAGAAUUCCUUCUCAGACACUGGAUCAAAGAUGAGACGUACUGCAGCCUGUGUAUUAUCUCACCGACAUUUGAACAUUACUGAAUUAUGUGGUUAAUCAACCAGUCCAGAGCUGCCUUUUGGAUACAACACACUGAUGAACAGUUAUUAGUACCAUAAAUUAUUCUUAUGUCUACAGUUUAAACACUGUUACACAGUUACACAAGUUAUGUUCGUCAUGAUCCCUGUAAUCAAAACAACACUUUUUGCAUUUCUGAAUUUGUUCAGAAGUACUAAUCUGUUUGCUAAAAGAACUGUUUUCAGAACUACAGUGUUGAAUAUAUCAUAUUCAAGACCGUAGACCAUAUUUAAAGGGAUAGUUCACCCAAAAAUGAAAACUAUCCUAUGAUUUACUCACCCUCAAGCCAUCCUAGGUAUAUGACUUUCUUUCAGACGAAUACAGUCUGAGUUAUAUUUAUGUCCUGGCUCUUCCAAACUUUAUAA